rnacentral:rRNA from 1 species
UGGGGGAUAUUGCACAAUGGGCGAAAGCCUGAUGCAGCGACGCCGCGUGGGGGAUGAAGGCCUUCGGGUUGUAAACUUCUUUUGCUCUGAACAAGGCAUGCCUUUGGGGUGUGUUGAGUGUAGGGGUUGAUUAGCGCCGGCUAACUACGUGCCAGCAGCCGCGGUAAUACGUAGGGCGCGAGCGUUGUCCGGAAUUAUUGGGCGUAAAGGGCUUGUAGGUGGCUGGUUGCGUCUGUCGUGAAAGCUCAUGGCUUAACUGUGGGUUUGCGGUGGGUACGGGCUGGCUUGAGUGCAGUAGGGGAGGCUGGAAUUCCUGGUGUAGCGGUGGAAUGCGCAGAUAUCAGGAGGAAUACCGGUGGCGAAGGCGGAUCUCUGGGCUGUUACUGACGCUGAGGAGCGAAAGCGUGGGGAGCGAACAGG